GCCUGUCCCGGGGUCUCCCAACCCCCUCCUCGGGCACCUCCCUCCUUAGUCACCCCUCCUCUCACACUCGCUCCUUCCGGAUCACGAUCCCGGAGAAGGAAGGGACAGGUGGCAGGACUCUGGCUCUCAGAGCCGGGGCUCCAGCCCCCUCUUGCCUGCGGAGAGCCGCGACAAGCAAGCCCAGCGCAUGGCCUCUCUGAGCCCGGGUUCCCCAACUGACACCCGCAAUAACAAAAGAACCUAGUUCGCUGGGUAAAAUGAAGCGGUCCACGUCAAGGGCACAGAACAUAUCUGAUUCCGGAAGCCAGCACAUUGCGGUUUUAUAAGGGGACAAGCAGAACCAUCCCCGGCGUGUGGUUUGUCUUGGAGAGUCCUUGGGGCCCGUGGUGAUCUCUAGGGCCAAGGAUUCUGGGCGGGGGGGCCAGCCGGGCAAGGCUGGGGUCUCUCAUGAUGGACCCGGACCCAGGCUUCACCUCCCUCCGCUCGCACCCAGGCCCAACAGUGUCCCCCUGGCCCUCUCACAUUAUUUCCACACCUUUGCAUAACCCUUUGGGUUUCCCGGGUUGUCAGCUCUGUCCCAAACGCUUCGUCCCUGAGCAGUGUCAUCUCCAUGUCACAGAAGGGAAAGCAGGGGUUCAGAGAGGUUAAGCGACCGGCCAAAGACCUCACAGCUCUGACAUCGCAUCGCCAAAACGCGAACCUGAGUUCUCUGGCCUCAAAUGUCAGCCACUCUCCACUCCUCUGCCUCCCCCUCCGAGGACCACUCAGUUGCUAGGAGACAGCAAGCUGGAGGUUACUAUGGGAACCCGGCUGAUGUGGAAAGUGGAAGAGAGUUGGUGUCCAGGCGGCUGUGCGAAGGCUCCAGGUGUGCGCCUCAGCCCCUUCCCUGCCCCUCCCACGAAGGCAGCUCCUGGCUGUCAGCUCUGGGGUCUGGGUUCCAGGCAGCAGGUGCUCGUGACAAGGCCUGAGAGAGGAACAACGCAGAGGCUUCACUCUGGAUGACAAACGAGGAGGGGAGAGGCCUGCCCUGCCUGGACUCCGGGUGGGCAGAGCUGCUCGGUGCUGUGGCUCGAGGAGGAGGGUGAUUCAGAGAACAGGUGCUGCCUUGGAGAAAGAGAAGGGCAAGGCGGAAAGAUCAUAGGAAGGGCGGAGACGCAGGAGGUUCGCCCCCCCCGCGCCCCAAAGGGCGCCAGGCAGGGCAGCUGUGCCCUUCUAUGGAAUAGGCCAGCGCUCUCGAACCUUCUCAGUCGCCCCGGCGCGGGCUUGAGCACCGAGUCCUCCAGGAAGAAGCCAAGGCCCUCAAACAUUACUUAAACAAUAUAUGCAGCGGAGCAUAAGUUCAAAUGCUUCAAAAAUCAAAGCAAUGCAAAAUACAAAGCCUCCCUGCCUCGGUGUCCCCAUGCACGGCUUCCCUCCCACAUGACCCCUGAUGGCUACUCUUGCAAUUCCUUGUGUAGCCUUCUGAGGAAGAUAAGAAUCUGUGUUCUGUUUUUCCUCCUUUCUUACAUAAAAGGGAGCGUACACUGUACACUGUUGUGUGUUUUGUUUUCACUAAAUCUAUCUUGACAUUCUCUCCAUAACAAUAGAUGCCCUGGUCCUUUUAUACAGCUGCAUAAUAUUCCACUGUGUGGUUGUUCAGUUUAUUUAAUGCUGUCCUUUUUUGAUGAAUACUUGGGUUGUUAUUCUUUUGCUCUUAACAACAACGAUGCAGUGAACACCUGUGUAAUCUAUUCCUGCAUAAAUGUACUUUUGCACAUAUCUGUGGGGUAAAAUGCCCUAAGCAAAGAGCUCAUUAUGGAAUAAGAGUGUUUGUGAUUCAAGUAGGGGUUUGAGCAGGUACUUCUCCCCAACCCAUGACAAGACUAUUUCCCAGCUACGACCCAGCAAUUGUACUGUUGGGGAUUUACCCUAAAGAUGCAGAUGCAAUGAAACGCCGGGACACCUGCACCCCGAUGUUUCUAGCAGCAAU